UGUUGAAAAAGAAAAAUGCUCGUAAUAAAUUGGCCUCCACUGAGUCUGCCUCCAGCACCGAUCCGCCAAAACCCCCCAACCAAGCUUCGAAUCUGACGGGCGGAGGAGGAGGCAUCGAUCAAUUGUUUGCGACGAAUCACUGUCUGAAGUAGUCAGACUUGGUAAAGUACCUUUGGAGUUGAUUCAGAUAAUAUAUAGUCAUGGUUGGUAUGAGAGCAAUAUUUGCAAGGUCAUUCAGGGAUCAUUACUGGAAGACAAAUAUUACUAACCAAUUCAUCCCGACACUUGAACAUUCGCGAUUGGCCAUGAAUCCUGCUUCUACUUUAUCACACAACCUUCCACCUAUCAAACAUAUUACAUCAGUUUGGCCUCUGCAGCAUAUGGAAAGGAAUACAGGCAGAUUGUCAGUUCUUUCUUCUUUUUCUGGAACUUGGUGUUCUAGGACUGAUGGUAGAACAUUUUCAACUGCACUUCCAGUUAGUAAUCAGUCAAUCAAAAAUAUGGUAAAGAUCAGAUAUAUCUCAUCUCCAACUUCCUUAAUUAAAAAGUUCCACCAUCGAACAUAUUCAUCACAUUCUGGAAGCAAGCGAGAUGACUUCCAAAUUGGUGUUAAAAAUGGUGCAAAUGCAGAAUCACUAGACAGUGGAAAUACAGAUCCUGCAGCUACUGAUUGGAGUGUAACGCUUGAUCGUGCUCGCCAAUCAGUUGUAGACAUUGCUUUUGAUGCAGAAAAGAAGGCUAAGGAUUUAUACAAUGAUGCAAUUCCUUAUCUCCAAGAGUUAUAUAAUUCCCAACCAUAUCUGCAGAAGGUGGUUAUUCCGGUCACUGGGACUGUAUCAGCUACAUUGAUAGCUUGGUUUGUCAUGCCAAGAAUUUUGAGGAAAUUACAUAAGUAUGCUUCACAAGGUCCCUUUGGGUUAUUGCCUGGGAACUCAACUAUCCAACAAGAUUCUUAUGAGAAAAGCCUCUGGGCUGCUUUAGAAGACCCGGCAAGAUAUCUUAUUACCUUUGUGGCUUUUAGUCAGCUAGGUGUUAUGAUUGCGCCAACCGUUACAGAAUAUCUUUCACAAGCAUGGAGAGGGGCAGUUGUGCUUUCUUUCAUUUGGUUUCUCCAUAGAUGGAAAACCAAUUUUUUCUCAAAGGCUUUGAUGACCCAGACUGUUGUAGGCCUUGAUCGAGACAAGCUAUUGACACUUGAGAAAUUGUCAUCUUUAGGCUUGAUUAUACUAGGAGUGAUGGGCUUAGCUGAGGCACUUGGUGUGCCCGUGCAAUCUAUUGUAACUGUUGGUGGCAUAGGAGGUGUGGCUACUGCAUUUGCUGCUAGAGACAUCCUUGGCAAUUUGCUUAGCGGCCUUUCUUUGCAAUUUUCAAAGCCUUUUGGAGUGGGAGACAAUAUAAAGGCUGGGUCAGUAGAAGGCCAAGUGGUAGAAAUGGGACUCACUACCACAUCCUUGAUCAAUCCUGAGAAGUUCCCUGUCAUAGUUCCAAACUCACUCUUCUCUAGUCAGGUCAUUGUGAAUAAAUCACGUGCUCAGUGGUUUGCUAGCCUUACCAAAAUACCUGUACGAAUUGAGGAUAUAGAGAAGAUUCCGCUUAUAUCUGAAGAGAUAAAGUCUAUGCUAAAAGGAUAUCCAAAAGUUUUUCUUGGAAAGGAUGCCCCCUAUUGCUACCUCUCUCGGAUUGAAUAUUCUUUUGUAGAGCUUACGCUGGGAUGCAAUCUCAGAAGUAUGAGAAAAGACGAGUUAUUUGCUACAGAACAAGAUAUUCUUCUGCAAGCCGUACGGAUUAUCCGACAACAUGGUGCUGAACUUGGAAGCAACCUAAAUGAUCGAACAAACUUUUGACAGUAUUAGUAGACUUUGCAUCAGACACUAGGGCAAGAACCAGGAAAGCAAGAAAAAGGGCAACCCGUGAUGGUAUCAUAUAUUCUUUGUUCUCAACUUUUGUCUGCUGGAGUUUUCCUGGUCUCAGAAAAGUUGAAGCAAACAAAACAAGAAAAAGGAGUGGCCUAAGAAGUUUUGUGGUCUGGUGUCUUUUGUUGUGCUGUACAUCCAUUUGUCUGAUCAAAGUUGAUAACUGUUCUUUAAGCGAUCAAACAAUACUCCUUUUUGAUAGAAAAUGCCGAACUGGGGCCUCUCCAUGGGCCCCUUAGUGUAAACAGUAUGUCAGUGGUUGUGGACAAUAUAUGGUUCCUUGGUCAUUUCGUUGA